rnacentral:rRNA from 1 species
AUGGCCCCCUCCUGCGGCGCCGCCGUGCCGUACACCCUCCUGGGCGCGCUCCUCAGCGGCGGCUCGUAUGCCCCGUCCUGGCCGGCGUGCGGCGGCCGCGCCUUCCUCCGCGACUACGCCCAGCGCGGCACCAACGCGAUGCUGUGGCUGGGGUUCCUCGCCGUCACGUUGGUCCUGCUCCGCCGCAUCGCCGCGCUCCUCCGCCUCUGGGCCCUCGGCUCCCGCCUCCCCGGCCCACCGGCCCUCCUCGCCGACCCCGGCCUCGCCGCCGUCUGCCGCGCCGGCGGCGACAUCACCGGCUAUCUAUCAAAAUUGCAUGGCAGUUUUGGACCAAUUGUUCGAUUGUGGUUAGGACCAUCUCAACUACUUGUCUCAGUUAAAGAUGCUUCCCUAAUCAAAGAGAUGCUAACAAAAGCUGAAGAUAAGUUACCACUGACUGGGAGGACAUAUAGUUUAGCUUGUGGAAGACUUGGCCUAUUCAUUUCCUCAUUCGAAAAGGUCGAAAGUACCAGGGAAUCACUGAACAUAUUCUUGAAUGAAAAACUUAACGUCGCUGCCAGUGAAAGUUCUUUCAAGAUCAUUGAAGCUGUUCUCCAUAGAACCGACUCUACUAAGGACAAGGAUUCUCUGGACUGCAGAUCUUUUUCCCAACACAUGGCAUUUAACAUCAUCGGUGCAGCUCUUUUUGGUGAUGUCUUGUUUGAUUGGUCUGAUGCUGCAGCAUAUGAGGAGCUUCUGAUGGUUGUUGCAAAGGACGGCUGCUUCUGGGCUUCGUAUGCGGUUCCCCCAUUUUGGAAACCUGGUUAUAGGAGGUACCGGACCCUAUGCGCUAAGCUGAAGAUCUUAACAGAAAGCAUCAUCAGAAAAUCCAUAGACCAAAAUGGUGCACUUAGACAUAACAAUCUGAGCUCCUGUAAGAUAAGUGAAGGGGUGGUAAAAGAUCCAGUUAGAUGUACUUCUCUGCUAGAUGGGAUGAUAUCAGGUCGUGGUUUCGAUGGGGCUGUGCAAGGGCCUCUCAGUUCAGAAGAAGAAAUAUGUGGGAAUAUCGUGGGUUUGAUGCUGCAUGGAAUUUCCACAUCUGCUAACUUGAUCUGCAACAUUUUGACGAGACUUGUCUUGUAUCCAAAGCUGAAAGACCAGCUAUAUGCAGAUAUUGUUGCAGUUCACACUGAAUCAUCUGAGCUGGUGAUGGAUGACGUGCUUAAGAUGCAAUUUGUACUUGCCACUGUUUGUGAAUCUGCUCGCCUUUUGCCUGCUGGACCUCUUCUCCAGCGAUGUUCUAUGCAAUACGAUUUGACUCUCAAAUCUAGCAGCACUAUACCAGCUGAAGCGAUAUUGGUUGUUCCUCUGCAUCUCGUGCAGAUGGAUGCUUCUAUAUGGGGAAAUGAUGCUUGCCAGUUCAAUCCUAGUCGUUUUCUCNNNNNNNNNNNNNNNNNUGUAGGAAUAUUAGCAGCGCAUAAAGGCUCAAAUGGGAUCAAGCUUUUUACCGAGCGUGAUAAGUCUGACUCAUUUCUUCCAUUUGGUUCUGGGAAUCGAGCAUGUGUUGGGCAGAAGUUUGCAAUUCUUGGGAUCUCUAUGUUGGUUGCCUCUCUUCUCCACAACUACGAGGUGCAGCCUCAACCAGCUUUAACCAAAGAAAUGGGCUUGGCAGUUGACAGCAGCAACCUUCGCCAUCUUCCAAACCCCAAAAUCAUCCUCACAAAAAGAAAGAUUUGA